CCUACGGGAGGCUGCAGUGAGGAAUAUUGGUCAAUGGACGCAAGUCUGAACCAGCCAUGCCGCGUGCAGGAAGACGGCUCUAUGAGUUGUAAACUGCUUUUGUACGAGGGUAAACGCAGAUACGCGUAUCUGUCUGAAAGUCUCGUACGAAUAAGGAUCGGCUAACUCCGUGCCAGCAGCCGCGGUAAUACGGAGGAUUCAAGCGUUAUCCGGGUUUAAUGGGUUUAAAGGGUGCGUAGGGGGUCGGGUAAGUUAGAGGUGGAAUCCCGAGGCUCAACUUCGGAAUUGCCUCUGAUACUGUUCGGCUAGGAGGGAGUUGCAGUAGGCGGAAUGUAUGG
rnacentral:rRNA from 1 species